UACGGAGGGUGCAAGCGUUAUCCGGAUUUACUGGGUUUAAAGGGUGUGUAGGCGGACUUUUAAGUCAGGGGUGAAAUCCCGAGGCUCAACCUCGGAACUGCCUUUGAUACUAUUGGUCUUGAAUCUUGUUGAGGUGGGCGGAACGGGUCAUGUAGCGGUGAAAUGCUUAGAGAUGACAUAGAACACCAAUUGCGAAGGCAGCUGGCUACACAUAUAUUGACACUGAGGCACGAAAGCGUGGGGAUCAAACAGG
rnacentral:rRNA from 1 species